rnacentral:lncRNA from 1 species
UUUUCCUUUUUCUUCUUCUUUUCUUAACUUUCUCUUUUUCUUCCUUUCAAACCCUAGCUGCCGCCAUUGGUGAUCUAUUGCUCCGUUCGGCGGUGUGACGACCGGCGUUUCCCUCUCGUUCUUUUUUAUUCUUUUCUUCCUUCCUCAUUUUCUUCUUUUUCUUUUCUCUUCUUUUUUCCCUUUCUCUCCUUCCCUUUCCUCUUUUUUCUUUCUCUUCUAUUUCGGUAACCCCCAAGGUUGAAGGUGUCACCGCCGCGCUCGUCUUCGGCUCCUCUUUGCGCUCGGUGGCCGACGAUUCCAAGGUAAAUGUUUUUCUUUUUAUUGAUUCUUGGCUGCUAAUUUCUUGGAAAUUUUUUCUUGAUUUUUGCUUGGUUGCUUCGUGAUUGGGUUUUAGGUGGUGUUGCGGCGAUUGCGGUGGUGGUUGUUGCGCAACGGUGGCGAUGGCCUUUUGCUUGCUGCUGUUUUGAUUUUUUUUGAGUUUUCUCUGCUAUUUUUUUUUUACUUUUUUUGGUUGCUGAAAUUGAGAACCCCAUUUUUCUCUUCAACUUUUUCUUUUAAAACCUUCCACUUUGUCCUCUUCUUCUUUGUUUUCAGGUGGCAGUAGAGGAGGGGGAGCAAUAUCGAUUGGGGGUAUCGGCGUGGAAGGCGGUGCACGCAAGAACGCAGAUUGGGGGCAGUCUUGUCAUGCCCAGAAGGACCAAAAUGUAACGGGUGCAAAGUUUCUGGGGCAAAAAUGUAAUUUCAAGAAAAACAUGGGGCCAAAAUGUAAUUUUUAGAAAUUUAAGGGGUCAAAAUGAAAUUUUAAGAAAGUUAAAGGGUCAAAGUGUAAAUAUAGGAAAGUUUAGGGUCCAAAAUAUAAUUUAAAGAAAAUUUAGGGGUCUAAAUAUGAUUUAUAUUUUUUUUGUAUUUUUUCUGAUUUAUUAUUAUUUUAUUAAUAGUAUUAAAACAUAAAAAACAAUGGGCCAAAGCCCAAAUAAGUCCAAAAUUAAAUUAUUUAAAACCUAAUUAUCCAACCUUACAUGCCCAACCAUUGUGCCCAAUCAUUAGGCCCAUAUGAGGCAAGCCCAAAAAAUCAUAAUUUUUUUAAAUAUAUAUAUAAAAUAAAAUAAAAUAAAAUAAAAACACGAAGAAUGUACCGGACAAAAUUCAGUGAUUACAGGUUCUAUCGGUACUUUUGAAUUUUUGAUUUUGGUUAUAAUGGCAUGUAUAGGUUAUUUUGGCUAAAUGUUGGUUUAUAUGUGUUGUUGGGAUUAGUCAUAUAUUUGGCUUGUGUUUUGGUAUUUUGGUAUGUGCAUAAUUUGUCUUAUAAUGUUGAUGUGUGGAAUGAUGAAAGAUAAAAUAGUAGUUGAAAAUGCAUAUGAGGUAUGUUUUAUAACUUGGUGUGAUUUGGUGCUAUGUUACAGUAAGUGUAUAUGUAUUUUAUGCUAUUGAAUAAGUGGUACAACUGGUACCAAAUGGUAAGUUUUAGUAAAUGAUUUACAUGUUGUGUAUUAAUGCGAUUAGACAUAAAAGUUAGUUGAUUACUUGGUUACAUGAAUUAUAUGGUUAAACAUAAUUGUAAUGGUCAUUUAAGGUGCCUAAGGGCAUAUUGAUUUUACGUGAAUAUACUACAUGUUUAGGGAUUGAUUUUAGAUGUUAUAAUAUGACUUGUUUAUAUACACAAUGUUGAUUGUAGGUUGACACCAAAUUGGGUGAGAAAUAUGAUUUGUAAAAUGACCUAUUUCCGUCCACACGGGUAGAGACACGGGCGUGUGUCUCAGCCGUGUGUGACACAUGGCCAUGUGCCCCCUGUAUCUUUUAAUUAUGCAAGUCAGUAUGCUCACACGGCCUAGCACACGGGCAUAUGGCUUGGCCGUGUGACUCAAGUCAGAGAGCUUUCAAGUUUGGACACAAGUUGGGACAUGGAUAUGUACCCUUAUUUCGAAUGCCCAUAUGGCCUGAGACAUGGACGUGUCUCUUGACCGUGGGAGCCACACAGCCUGACCACACGGGCAUGUGUCCCCUAUACCUAUGAAAUAUUUGAAUGUUUUUCGAAAAAUUUUCUGAGUACCCGGUUUAGUCCUGACUUAUUUUUAACAUGUAUUUUGGGCCUCGAUGGCUCACAUAAGGGACAAUAUGAUGGAUUUGGAUUAGAUUCUGAUAUGAGUGCUAGAUGAUAUGAAAUGUCUGUUAUUUGAUCUGUAAAUUCUAGUAAUGCUUCGUAUCCUGUUCCGGCGUCGGAUUUGGGUUAGGGGUGUUAUAAAGAUAGCCCUCAUUAAGGUUGUUUUGUGAUGGAAUAUGAUUUAACAAAUGGCCAACUUUAGGAAUCCAACUGUCCUUCCAACAUCUCAUGCUAUUAUCGUUUCCAACUGACCAUAUAACAUUCUUAUAUAGGGGGCCAAAUCUUCAAAAGAGAUUCCCAAAGAAAUGAGCAGUUCCCUCGAAUUAAUAUAAACAAAUAUGCCUUCCUCCACCAUAUACUUUGACCUUAGAACACGGACCCAUAAGGAAUCAAUAUUGGUUAACAUGUUAUACCCCAAUUUUAACAUGAAGGAAAUGUUUUGAUCCUUCAACUAUUAAAUCCCCAACCCUCUAGAUGCCUUGGGUUGACAAACAAACUGCCAAUUAACAAGGGUCAUCUUUCUACUCCCCCUAGAAUGCCCCCAAAUGAAUUGUCUGACAAUGUAUUCAAUCUCCUCACAUAUACUUUUUAGGGUUAUCAUGAUCUGCAUAAAAUAAUUAGGGAUUGUGAGGAGCAUCGGCUGAGGUAAUGUGACUUUACCAAAAAGAGCUAACUUCCUUGCAUCCCACUGUUGGAGUCUAGCCUUAACCUUUUUCACCACAAACCUCAAGAAACUAUUGGUGAUCCUCUCAUAAAAUAGUGGAAAACCUAGAUAUGAACCAAGAUUAUGGACCUUCUGAAAGCCGAUAGUCUCACAUAAACGCCUCCCAUAAUUUUUAUCAAUUCCCUUCGAAAAGCAGAUUAUCGUCUUGUUAGUAUUAAUUUGGUGCCUAGAGAAACCACAUAAAUUUUUCAGAGUCUUCUUGAUCAAUAUCGCCUAUUUCGUGUCAGCUUUUCCAAAGAUAACUAGAUCACCUGCAAAAAAGAAUGUGAAAGUAGAGGUCUUGUUCUAGACAAACAAAUGGGACUCCACUUACCUGUAUUUAUGGAAUCAUGAAUACAUUGACCAAGCCAUUCCAUGUAGAGGACAAAAAGAUAUGGUCAUAAAGGACAACCUUGUCUAUUACCCUUGGUCGGGUUAAACUUCUAAGUCGGGACUUCAUUCCAUAAAAUCUGCAUAGACGUAUUCAUGAUAGCCGACAUAAUAACCUUCCUAAGGAAUUCAAGAAAGCUAGCCACCCGAAGUGAAGCUUUAAUAAAAUCCCAAUGCACUCUAUCACACGCCUUCUCCAAAUCAAUCUUGAUUUCUAUCCACCUCUUAUUCUUGUGUUUGCUCCAUAUGGAAUAUAUCACCUCCUGAGUGCCAGAAUGAUGUUAUCCGUGAUAUUUUUCUCAUCAACAAAACCAACUUGAUUUUGUCUAAUAAUUCUAGGAAAAACCAUUUUGAAAUGAUUAGCAAUAAUUUUCAUGACCAACUUAUAAAGAACCGAACAUAAGCUAAUAGGACGAAAUUGCAUAAAACUUUCAGGAUUUGGAACCUUAGGGACAAGAAUAAUUAAGGUAUUAUUGAGUUCUCGGCUGGCUCUGGAAAAAGAAGCCGUGAAAACCAUCACUUAUUGGUGCUUUCGAAAGAGUCAUGUCAAAAAAAGCAGCCUCAAUCUCUUCCAGUGAAACCUCUCUGCCCAAUAACAGGGUAUCACUCUGAUCAAGUUUAGGAAAGGAACUAGGAGGUAAAUUCAUCAAAUUAACUGGUUGAUCACCAUACAAAUUUUGGAAGAAAAUGAGCUCCUUAGAUUGAAGUUCCUCAUCAUCAUAAAUUCAUUUACCUCUCUCAUUCUUUAAAGCAAAAAUCUGAUUAUGUUUCCUUCUCUGAAUCGUACGAGAAUGAAAAAUUUUAGUAUUGCGGUCCCUGAGGUACAACUAAUCACAUUGACUUUUCUAUUUCCAUAAUAGCUCCUCAUGAUGUAACACCCUUUUCAACUCCUCCCUAACCUUCAAUUCUAAUUGGCUUAAGGUAUUGGAGUCCAACGUAUCCAUGUCCUUUUGAAUCCCAUCUAGUUUUUGCAUCAAAUACCUUUUACGGGUACAAAUAUUUCCUUAAACAGACUUAUUCCACUCUUUAAUAUUCAUGGUAAAUUGGUGGAUAGACUCGAGCAUGUUACCAUUGAAAACCCCAAUUAUCUUUGACGAAAUUCAAAAAGUUUGGGUGCUCCACCCAAUCGGCCAGAAAUCUAAAUGGGCACCCCCUAGGUGGGUUAACCACUGACUUGAGAAAGAGGAACAAUGGCCCAUGGUCAGAUUUAAGCCUAGGAAUAUGAAUGACUGAACAACUAGGGAAAGCUCUAUCCAAGUGUCAUUACGAAUUGCCCUAUCAAGCCUCUCAAAACUAUCUCCCCGAUGUCAUGUGAAGGUUGGACCCUUAAACCCUAAAUCCUACAAAUCAUUCAAUUCAAGAAACUCAUAACAUAAAGGACAGCCUAUUCCAACUCGUCUACCUCCUUUUUUUGUCGCUAGAUGAAAGUUAAGUAUUAAAAUCAUCGAUAGAUGCCCAAGGAACACCUUUAGGUGGAAUGAUUGAACUAAGACCCUCCCUAGAAUCCUUCUUUUCUGUCUAUCAUGACCUCCAUAAACAAAGACAAUGAUCACAGCCUGGGAUUAAACCCCUUUAAAAACCUGAAUGACAAUGAAUUAGGGGUGAUUAUGAAUUACCUCAACUGAAACAGACUUUUUCCAGCCAACCUAAAUACCUCCCGAAUAACCAACAACCUCUACUCUAUCCGAAUGUUGUAAACCCAAAUUGGCAAUGAUCUUAUCUACUUUGUAACCAUUUACUCUCGUAUUUAGCAGACUAACAAUAUCGAUUUUAUAUUCCUUAUUAUAUUCAUGAAAAAUACGGGGAAAUUUUUUGCUGGCACAACCCUGACAAUUCCAAGAAUAAAUAAAUAAAUCCAUAAAAAAUAACAUAAAGAGAAUUUAAACCAAUCUUACUUCUUGGGAAGCUUGACUUCCUCCGACUACUUUCCAUCAAAGGUUGAGGAGUAUUUGUCUACCUCAUUGCUAAAUUGAACACUAAUUAACUUGAUCAUAAAGUUUAGAGAAUCUGGUAAGGAUACUCGAGCGGUUUUGGCUUGGUUAAAUCGAUCCCCACAAUCUCUAAUGGUAUGAUUAAGCUUACGUCCAAUGCGAACUAAGCCACCUUUAUCAUCGCAAUUUUUAAUACCAACGUUACCUUUGCCCCUUCAACAGUAACAUUAUCGCUUGAGGACGUGCUUUUAUUUGGGUAAGAAUUCUCUUUGAAAGUAACUGUUAAAUGUUUCUCCAGAUCAAGGACUGUAUUAUUCAAUGGAACAUCUACACUACCCAUGUCUUCAAAAGUAAAAUUAAAAUGUGUGACAUUUACAGAAGAUUUAGCUGGAAAUAUUGAAAAGAUUAAAAGAAUUUGUUUCCAUAUCACCCUUAUGCAAUCUAGCCUCUUGAGCUUUAAAUCUAGGAUCCAAAAAUCCACUGGUCGAAUUAUCCUGGACCGAACCUACAGAUCCAGAGAAAAGAUUAGAGUUAGAACUUGCUAUAUCCAUGUUUACACAAACCUCACUAGCGCAACCAAGCCCAACAUCCUGCAUAAGCCUCUUGCCCAUCUUUUUAGCUAAAGCCCCAUUAGAUAUGUGGCCUAAUUCUGCAUUUCCCUUACUAUCAGGUCCAACUUACCUAUCAGGCCCCAAAUGGGUUCCAAGGCCCUCAUUCAUCUUACGACCUGCACUCAUGCCAAAACCCAACUCCACAUUGGUCUUCUCCUUAACUCUAGCCCUAGCUCUACUACCCAUCAUUUUCCUAUUUUCCUUCUCAAUGGUCGUUUCACCCAAGAGACAGCACCACCCUCGCCAUUAUUACCUUCCAUCUUUCUCGCCGCACUUAGCAUCAUGAACCUUGAACCCUUGCCAUCAUUCCUUGAUUUCACCUGAUCUUUUUCCCGUGAAUCUCUCUGUCCAUGCCAAGAUUUCCUCUCCACCAUCAUCCACGACCCACAUGCUAUCCUGGUCACUCCUUCUACUCUAACCCCAGUCUUACCUUGGUACGCGACCUCCGACUUCUUUCCUCUUUCCCAAUUCAGAUCUAUAAAAAGGGCACAACUCCUCCAUAUGUCCGUUCUUACCAUAAGAAAAGCAAAAUCGUCGAAAGUCCUUCAUACUCCACUCGUUGGACUUCGUCGUUAACCUUUACCUGAGAAAUCAGUGGCUUGUCGAGGAUGAUUAAAACUACCAUUCAGGUAAAACGGCCUAUUGUUUUGCUAUCUUUCUGAAAAUCAAGUUUUGCCAUUGUUCCAAUCAUACCCCCAAUAGCUUCAAGGAUUUUCCUUUUGUACAUGAACCCCGGAAGACCCAGUAACCUUAUCCAAGACAUCACCACGCUCGAGUAUGGUUGUGACAGACUAAAAUCCUUAGUCCAUGGUUAUACAGUUAGGUACUGACCAUAGAUAAUCCAAGGUCCCUGAGUCAACACCCAGUCAUAAUCUUCAGUGGUUUGAAACUUAACAAAAAAAAAUACUCGUUUUCUAUACCCAUUAGGUAGAAUGGUUUUACUGGUUUCCAAAGACUGAUGAUCCGAUUAUGAAGAGCGACAUAGCCGAUACUCUGCCCCAAAAGCUUCAAGACAACAUUCGUUUCCAUCUCCUUGAAUAGAAUUUGUUUAAUACGGUCUAAAAAUUCUCUUGUUUGGAUCCUGUUUACCAUAGAUCUUCUCACAUCUCAUUCCAAAAAUUCAAAUCACUUUACUUUCACCAUUAGAUCUAUCACUUGCCUUACCAGAAAUGGCUGAACCUCCUCCCAAAAGCUUGUCCUUCCAAGACAGAGUCGGAGUUAGAUCUAGGUCCACAGCCAUAACAACGACCACUUCAGCAGAUCGUUCCUUAAACCUCACUUUCUGAGUGUUCCAAUAAUCAGAAAAAUGAGAUUCACCAUUGCCUCCAUCAUAGAUGUAUUGCAUUGAAAUAUGUUAUAUAAAUCUUUAUCAAAUCAAAUUUAAAAAUAAAUUAAACACUAAAAAAAUGAACUUUGUUAUCUUCAAGUUGAAUUAUGUAACUUUUUUCAAAUAAAUGUACCACAAUGGACUAACAAAUAAGACAUGUAAAACAAAAUGUCAAAAGCCUUUAAAAAAUUAUUAUUGUAACCUUACAAAUCUAUAUUUUUUUUUUACUUUUUACAUAAUUAAAUUUACAAAUAUGUAUUUUUUUUUGUAACCAGAGACAUAUACUAAAUACCAAAAGUUACGCAGGGAGUAGGGAGGGAGUUAUGACAUAGACAUAAUGACUUAUUUGUAAUCAAAUCUAUAUAGCAAUGUCAUGUCAGCAAAAUUAACAAACGAUAACUUUUUCAUUCAUUUUGGAUGGUUUGACAAAUAAAAAAGUUUAAAAACUAAAAAAGAUGAACAAUUAAAUAAAUAUGCUAAAAUUAUUAUUUUUGUAAAAUUAGAGGACGGAAAUAGGGGGAAAAUAACCAAAAAAGGCCGUUUUUUCAAAAUUUACCGAAAUGGGCCGGUUUUUUAAUUAUUUACCGGAAUGGGCCAUUUUCCGCGAAAUCGCGUCCACGUCAACGCGAUGUCAGGGUACGCACAGGAAAUCGCAUCCACGUCAGCGCGAUUUGCUGACGUGGAAGGAAAUCGCGCCCUCUAGAACGCGAUUUGCUGACGUGGCAUGAACAGUGUGUUUUUAGCUUGGAAAACUUUGAAAGGCCAUAACUUUUGGCUCGGUUGUCCGAUUGAGACGAAUUUUUUUUAUUUCGAAUAACUUUUCGAGAUCUACGCGCUAGAAAACAGCCGAAGGCGGUUUGCCGAAGUUUUCAUCGAAAAAUAUCCUUUUUUGCCCCUAAAUUUUGAUUUUUUCGGUUUAAAAUUGAAGUUUGAAACAUUCAAAUCGUUAUUUUCCUCAUUUAUUUGAAGUAAACACCGGAUCUUUUUUUACAGAAUUGUCUUAUAUCAUCCUGUUAUAGGUAUAAGUCAGCUCAUUCCACUUUUAAGAAGUUCCCUAAAAUUUUCCAUUUUAUUCAAUUUAGUCCCUAAAACCUAAAUAGUCAUAUUUUCAAAUCUAAGCUUCGUUUUUCAAUUCAAAUUCAAUUUCAUCCUUCCAUAACAUUCAAAUAUUCUUAAAUACAAAAAUUUUGUGCUAAUUUUGAAAUAAUUACACUUUAGUCCCUAUACUCGUAACUAACAAAUUAUAAUUUACAAAUUAGUCCCUAUUCAUCUCUAAGCAGUUUUCCAGCGCAUAGAUCUCGAAAAGUUAUUCGCAAUAAAAAAAAUUCAUCUCAAUCGGAUAACCGAGCCAAAAGUUAUGGCCUUUCAAAGUUUUCCAAGCUAAAAACACACUGUUCAUGCCACGUCAGCAAAUCGCGUCCUAGAGGGCGCGAUUUCCUUCCACGUCAGCAAAUCACGCUGACGUGGAUGCGAUUUCCUGCGCGUACCCUGACAUCGCGCUGACGUGGACGCGAUUUCGCGGAAAAUGGCCCAUUCCGAUAAAUAAUUAAAAAACCGGCUCAUUUCGGUAAAUUUAAAAAAAAAACCGGCCUUUUUUGGUUAUUUGCCCGGAAAUAGGUUAUUAUACCCAUAUUUUAAUGUAACUUUAUAAAUUUUGCCCAUAAUUAAAUGGUCAGGACCGGGUUUAUAUCCUAUAAGGCCAAGCUUGUUUUAAACCCGUAUAGUUCCCCAAAUCAGAUGCAAUCUGACAAGAUCUAGGGCCACAAUUUCUGUAGGGGGGCCGGCCUUUAUCGUGAAACAUAACGAUCGAAACCGAUAGAUCUACGGUUCUACCAAUACUCGCAUUUCAUUUUGUAGCAAUUUUAAAAAAUCGAAAGCGAUAAUCUCUCCUCAUUGCGCGGUUCCGAUUUAAAGAACUAAAACAAUUCGAAAAUCCUAAUUUUGUAUUUCCGUUUUAAUUUCAUCAAUUUAUUUAUUUUGUUUCCGCUCCCUGAAUGACGGGAAAUUUCCCUCCCAAUCUAACCUCUCCUUAGUUGGUGUUUGGCUCCAAAGAAAAUUAAACGAAACAGCCAAGGAGAAUAAAAUUCAAGAGGCAAUGGAAAGUGAAGGGAACAGUGAGAAAAAACUGAGCAGCAGCAAACUGAAGAAAGGAAGUAACAUCAUACCACUCACCGGAGCUGCCGCUCUUCUCACACUCGUUGUUAGUCUUGCUAUCACCGCUAUCAACAAACGACGAAACUCCAAGAGAAAAGGUCAUUUUCAUUUUCUUUUUCUCAAUUUAUCUUAUACUUGCUUGUUUCUCGUUUACAAAUAGUAAUUAAAGGAUAUAUAUAUUAAUUUUAGAUCUUACGGGAUGUAAUUUCCGAGUAAAUUUGUCGGCGAGUGAGAUUCUAAAAUUAGCUGACCGAAUCAUAGCAAAAUCAAAGGAAGUUCAUGACGCCGUUGCUUCAGUACCGCUUGAUAAGGUUUUCAUAGUUUCAGUAUCUUCAAUUUUUCCCUCUAUGCUCUUUUUGACUAUUUUUACAUUUAUAAGAAUUCGAAAUUCAUAUAUAUUUAUCACUUUUUUAAAAAACGGUCAGGUUACAUAUAAGAAUGUUAUAUCACCGCUGGCGGAAUUGGAGGCUCAACAGUUUCCAUUGGUGCAAUCAUGUGUGGUUCCUAAGUUGGUCUCUACUUCAGAUAAAGUGCGUAAAGCUAGCGCUGAAGCCGAGAAGAAAAUAGAUGCCCAUAUCUCUUCCUGCAGGUUUAGUUCACUUGUUUAUGACUUAUAUCAGAAUCAAGUAAUAACAUUUUAUGUUUAGAUUGUUUCAUCUAGUUGGUAAUGCUCUUUUUGAACCUAGACUAUUUUUCUAAUUAAACCUAGUAUGCCUUUGUAAGUAGUUGUAGAUAUGGGAAUUCUAGUAGUUGUGUAUAUGAAAAUUCUACUGUUCAGUUGUUUACCGAGAAUCAAAUCUAACGUUUUUACUGUUUAAUUGGGGCGUUGAUCAGUAAACGCGAAGAUGUAUACUGUGUUGUCAAAGCUUUUGCUGCAAAAGGGGAGUGGAUGGGCCCAGAAGCAAGACACUAUGUUCAUUGCUUGGUAAGGGAAAUAUUUCCGCUUUCUCAUGUUUGUUACCCAUCUUAUGACAUGGGAUUUUCAAAUACUGUUGGCUACAAAGUAAAAUGGUAAAGUAAGUUUUAUACUGAAAGAACGGCCAGAUGAGGUUAUAUAUUGUAAUGUACCAUGCUCAAGAGCACAAAUGUUUCAUUGUUUUGAAUACAAGUUUAGUUGUUCAGUCAUAGUGUUGACUCCUUUCUGACCAGUGACAGAUGAAAGAAUUUGAACGGAAUGGAUUGAAUCUUACAGCAACAAAAAGAGAAGAAGUGCAACGCUUGAGAGCUCAAAUUGAUGAGCUCAGCUUUCAAUAUGUUCAGAAUUUGAAUGAUGAUAGCACUUCUGUUUUGUUCCAUGAGAAUGAGCUAGCCGGACUACCAGCAGAGUUUCUCAAGGUUCUACAUUUUCUAUAUUUAAUUUCCUCUCCUGUGCUCACUUUAUUAGUUUAUAUAUGGAAAAUUUGGACUCUACAUUUGUCUCAUUUGAACAAAAAGUUCUGAUCUCAAUUAGUUUUCUACAUUUGAUUUUUUGCUGGUCUGCUGGUCAUAGAUUUCCUCUGAUGGUAAAUUAAUUACAUACCCUUUUUAUUUCAUGCUUAAGUUGUUGAACUUCAACAUUCUGCAGAAAUGAUGGUUAACUGAUCACAUGAAUCAAUUACAUUUGUAAAUAAUUUCAGUUUUGAUAUUUGGCAAUGCAUGUUGGGGAUAUAAAAUAAAAUAUGCCUAAAUGAUGAUUUCAAAUAUCUAAAGUGAAAAUUGCCGAAUAUAAUGCAUUUGUACUGCAUCGUAGAAGCAUCAGAGAAGCCCAAAGAGCAAGUAUCUACCAUUUUGGAAACUGACCUAUUCAUAAAUAUUGCUGCUAUUCCUUACCCGAAAGAGACUCUAUGAAUUCAAAAUUUUAAUACCUCAUGAUAGAGUUUUUUGAAUGACUCAGUUUAUAAUAUAGUAAUAAAUUUUGUUUUACUGUUUCUUUUGCAGACUUUAGAAAAAGCAGAGAAUGGGAUGUUCAGAGUCACAUUGAAAAGUCAUCAUGUUGCAGCAGUGUUGGAGCUAUGCAAGGUAUGAUUAUUGAAGUUGAUUAAUUUUCAGCUGGCAAGAGGCAAUAUGUUGAUAAUGGCUGUGCCCUUGCUGUUUGGAAAAAGUUUUUGCACAAACUGACAAGGUGAAUUAAUAUUACAAUAUUUUCAGAGAUCGAUUACGUACUUGAAUUGCAGAAUGGUUAAGGAGUCCUGAUUAAUUUUCUUAUGUACUGGCUUUUAAAAUAUUUCUGAUAUUGCAAGAAUAGCAUGACAACGAAAUCCAGCAUAUUUUCAAUUAAGUGGACAUUACCACUGCCACAAUUAAUAUUUGACAAAUGCAUGGCCUUGCAUGUUGAUAUCAUGCAACAUCAACUCAACCUUUUCUGAAAGUUAAGAUCAACUUGAUCCCAUAUUUGUCACUAUGGCUUUAGACUUGAAAUCUAAUGAAAUUUUUUGUUUGUAUUACUUCAGUAUUGUCUGAACACUGAAAUAUGAGAAUGACUAUUGUGGAGUUUCCUAUUUACAUUCUGAGCCUUUGCAGAUAGGAAAGACAAGAAGGUUAGUAGCUAUGGCAUAUGGAAAGAGAUGUGGAAAAGCCAAUCUCUCUGUCUUGGAAUAUUUGGUAUAUAUUUCAUUCUCCCUUGGGCCCCUCCUCUAUGUUUCUUUGAGAUGAUGUUUACUUGGAAUGAAAUGAUGGUCCAAAUCCAGACCAAGGGCUGCAUUUUCAUUGACGUCCUUUUACUUUGUUGGUCUGACAUUACUAGUAUUUUGUAUUGGCAUAAGCUACUAAAUCUCCUUUCAGUGUAUCAUUUUGACAUUUAGGUCUUUAAAACCCCCCCUAACUAGGCGGGCGGCGAUUUUAUUACACUAUCAAUUUGUAUAUUUAUUAUCUUCCAUUCAUUUUACUUUUGCAAUUUAUGCCACAUUAGAGGCAUUACUGUCUUCAAGGUGAUGCUAUGGAAGUUAAAGCUCCAGGCUUCACCUUGUAGGUGGCAGGGUAGGAAUUAGGAUUUAUGGGAUGGGAGAGGGUACCUACCAUUGUGUAGCCAAAUCUCAUUUUACCAGAAAAAGUGGGAAAAGUGUAGGAUGAACAUAUUGACAUGGGAGUUUCUAUGAUUUAAGUUUUUAUUAAGAAUAUCAUAUUUACCAUAAUACCAUGUUGGUAGCACCUAAAACUUAUAAAUUAAAAUGUAAUGGCUGUUCUAGUAAGUGGUGACAAAUUCUUGGUUUUCAACAGUUUUAACUUAUCAGCAACUUUAGCAUAGUUAUAUUAAUUCAUUCAUUCUUUCUUGAGUGCCCAUUGCUGCAAUGUCCCUAGAUGUGGACCCCAAUACGAAGUUUCAUUAUAGCCUUGAGUUUGCAUUGAGUAUAAAAGACCAAUAAGUUAACUUUUCUUUUGUGAUAUAGGUUCAAGCUCGUCACAAAUUUGCUCGAUUACUUGGCUAUUCAAACUAUGCAGAAUAUGCUUUGAAUCCUAGAAUGGCUAAGACGCCCUCGAAGGUCUGAUUUAUUUUCUGGGAAUAUUUGUUGUUUAUUUGCUGCAUGAAUAAUAUAUGCAAUUUCCAUGUCUUUCAGCUUUGACCUUAGUGUUUUAAAAAAAUAAAAGUAAAUCGUUCAUUUUUUAUUGAAUUUUAGUAAUCUGACUGAAAUCUUGCCAUGUCUCUUCCUCUCCCUCUCUCUUCCUUUUCAGUUUUUAACCACAAAACUUUUUGUUGGCCUAGUCUAGUUAGAUCUCUUUUUUGUUGACAUGGUUAAUCCAGAUGCAAUGUUUCCUCCUGAAAUUUAAUCAGAAUUUUUCUGGCUACCUCCUCGCCUGUCAUCUGUCCUAAGGAAUGUGCUGUUUUAUACAAUGACGCCUGAAAUGAUUAUGAUCUUAAUGAUUCAUUUCCUGAGUGAUAUGACCAAACCAUGCAAAACUAGCUUUACAUAAGCAGAAAAUCAUUUUGUUGUGACAUUUGAAAUAGACGACAUUAGGAAACAUAGAAAAGAAUGAAGUUUUGGAUUGUGCUUUAUGGAAUAUAGCUAUCUUAUAAAACACUGUUAUGAAGUUUAUUUUAAAGAUGCAUCUAGGUUUUGUAUUACUUUUCAAUGCUUCAUGUUAUGAAGUUCAUUUUAAAGAUGCAUCUAGGUUUUGUAUUACUUUUCAAUGCUUCAUUAAUGAAUGUAAUAUUUGCUUCUUAGGACUUUGUGAAUGUGUCCAGGUAUUGGAAUUCUUAGAGGACAUUUCUUCCAGUUUAUCAGACUUAGCCAAUAAAGAGCUGGCUAUGUUGAAAGAGUUAAAGGUCAGAACAUAAUCUCCAUAUUCUGAUUCCUUUUAUUUUUUUCCCUUUCAAAUAAAUGUUUUAUUUGCUUUGUUUUGUCAUCAGAAGCAAGAUGAAGGAGAGCUUCCAUUUGGAGUUGAAGAUCUCCUGUACUAUGUAAAGAAGGUUGAGCAACAGGAAUUUGAUCUGGACCUUGGAGCUCUGAAACAGUACUUUCCUGUCAAUUUGGUUCUAUCUGGAAUUUUCAAAAUAUUUCAGGAUCUUUUUGGUAAGUCAUUACAUGCACGUAUAUGGCUUAUGCAGGCUGCAUGUGGAUGAGUGGUGGGAGGAUUCCCGUUGCAGUGAUGCAGCAAAAUGGCACUGGAACCCUGAGUGUCCAGUGAUGAAAAUGACUGCAUCAGUGUGGUGGAAAUCCUACCCAACUCCAUUCAAAUGACUUCAUAGUCACGGAAAAUGCUUAUCUCUAUGUCUUGUAUGUAUCAUACAUGCUGUCCUUUACCUGCAGGUUUAAGGUUUGAGGAAAUUGCAGAUGCUGAUGCCUGGCACAGUGAUGUUCGAAUGUUUUCUGUUUUUGACUUGAGUUCUGGUGAACUUUUGGGUUAUUUCUACCUCGACAUGUACAAGAGGUUCACAUAUUACUUUGAGUUUUCUUCUUUAUUUUUCUCUGCUUUGCUUGCUCUAGUUAGAGAAAAUUGGGUUAUCGUUGUGGAACAGGGAAGGGAAAUAUGGUCAGACUUGUGUGGUUGCUCUUCAAAAUGGCUCAGUAGCGUUCAAUGGUGCACGACAGGUGAUUGAUAUAACAUAAUGAUCAUGCUUAAUAGUUAUACUAUUUUAUCUUAGCAUCUUCUUUGAGCACCUGAGUAGAAUAAAUUUGCUUAAAUGUUACUAAGAUAUGCUCUGCUCUUAAAAAUCAGUGACUCAUAUUAGUUAUUCUGUCCCAGGUUCCACUGGCAUUGCUAAUUUCUCAAUUGCAGACUGACAUUGGUGGCAUUCCGAGUUUGCUAAGAUUCACGGAAGUGGUCAGUCUUUUGCAUGAGUUUGGCCAUGUGGUAUGUUCAACUCUAAAUUAUUUUCUUGGCUUUAUCGUUUAUGAUUGGUGCAUUAUAUUGGCUCAUAAUAAUGUUUUUGUAGUAGAAAGUAGAUUGUUAUUUUAGUUCGAUGUUUUAGGAAGAUAAUAUGGAUUUCACUCUCUAUGGGGAUAUAGGUUCAACAUCUAUGCAACCGUGCAUCGUUUGCUAGAUUUUCUGGGUUGCGUGUUGAUCCUGACUUUGUGGAGAUCCCUGCUAAGGUUCUUGAAAAUUGGUAGGUUGUAGAUCCUACUAUUUCUUUUUCCUUUGGACUUACUAGACUCCUUGAUAAUGGUUUUUUACAUAUAGGUGCUAUGAGAGCUUCUCAUUGAAGUUAAUAUCUGGUUUCCAUCAGGUAUACAUUCUGACAGAUUCUGUAUAUGCAUACUUUCUACAUAUGUAUUUGUGCAUCUGUAUGUCUUACUGCCAGAUAUUCAUUUGUAUAUGAAUUGGCUGGAGCUUGGUUCUGUAUUUUGGGGUGUUCAUCUAUGUGUUUUAUGCAAUUAUAUUCUGGGUGGAUUGGGAAAGGAAUGUUGUGGUUUUUGAAGACAUGGUGCACAGUCUCUCUGGGGCCUUUUUUUUUUUUGAGAUGGGUGGAUGGUGUUUCAAAUAUCUAAAAGGCAACUAAUUACUUGAAAUUAUCUCUAUGAUAUGAUCAUUUUCAGGAUAUUACAAUGCCCAUUAAGGAUGAAAUAUGUAAAUCACUUAAAAGAUGGCGUUAUUCCUUUUCGGCUCUUAAAUUGAAGCAAGAAGUUCUUUAUUGUAAGCCUCUUACUUCGUCAUCAAUCAAGAAAUUUCAAUUUUACUGAAAUCUGUUGAGACCUUGAUACUCAAAAAUCCGUUAUUAUCUGUUAGUCAUUUCAUUUCCCAUUUGGUAAGUUUUUGGAAUUAGAUCCAGGUAUGUGAUGUCUUUCUCUUUAAGUUUAACCAGAAUUGACAGUUCUACAGUUUGAUAAAACAUGAAGAAAACUUUAAGAGGCGAGAGGGUUUCCAAAUUCAAUAGGGUAUUUAUUGCGACAUAGGAUCAUAUGAGUUAUUAGAAUUCAUAAUAAGAAUAGUCAGUAAUUUAUCGUGGUUUCUUUUUGUUCUAGGUAGCAUGAGUAUUACGCCCAGGCAUGUUGGGCAAUUGUUCUUCAUGGUUGUUGGUUCUUGCCCACACUGCUUACUUCGGCAUGAUUAUAAAUGCUUUGUGCCUGUUAUUGCAACAUAAACAAGUUUGCUUCCAUUUUGAGUUAGGAAUGUGUAUUUUGGUGCUUUAUAUUGAUCGGUUAAAUAUCUUGAGUGAAGCUGUCUUAUAUGGAGUCGAGAUCGAGGAAUUUAGUUUACAAGAAAAAGACACUUUUUAAUUUAGCACCUCAACAUAGAUGGACUGUUUUCUGCUGUAAUUCAAAAUUCUAUGCCUCUCUUCAGAUAAGCUCUAAAGAUAUUUUUGACUGUCAGGUCUUUUUGAUCAAAUUAUACAUUCUGCUGAAAACGUUGACAUUUUUGAGUUAUUCAAACAUCUUCAUCCAAAGGUAAGUAAAUUUUCCCGUUCUUGCUUUCGUACUUUGUGCUUUUAGGAGGAGAGCAAUUACAUCAUUCUAUUUUUCCCCUCCGUCUUUUGGCCAUUGUAGGUAAUGGUGGGAUUGCCAAUGUUAGAAGGAACUAAUCCAGCUUCAUGCUUCCCACGUUGUGCUAUCGGUUAUGAAGCUGCUUGUUACAGCCGUAUUUGGAGUGAGGUUUGUUUGUUUCAACCCUAUCGUUCUUGCGUGCUUUUAUUUUAUUGUCUAGAUAAGAUUGUAGAUUACAGUAAACUUUAUGGGGUUUGCAGUAUAAUUGUUACUAUUUAUCAUGGAUGAUCUCUUUCUGAGUGAUACGACUACCAUUUCUAUGCUUCAAAUGAAUAGGUAUUUGCAGCUGAUAUUUUUACGUCAAAGUUUCAAGAUGGGCUUCUGAACCAGCAUGUUGGUAUGCAGUUUAGGACCAAGGUACUAACUACCUUAUAUGUCACCAUGCUGUUUAUUGUUUUUGAAACUUUCCCUUUUCUUCGUUUCCAAGCCGUUACAGAAAUAUUGAAAUCUAAGUCUCAUUUCUAUCAUGUACGUGGUCAUAUGUUAGUAUUUGACGUCUUGGUAGGUAUUGGCACCCGGAGGAGCUAAGGAUCCAAUUGAAAUCCUGUCUGAUUUUCUUGGAAGAGAACCAUCAAUUCAGACAUUUAUCGACAACAAAAUUGAAUGCAGUUUGUGGCACUGAAAGUUUUGGGUAAUUCAUCUUGAUACCUCGUCCUUUUACACUGCAAGAUAGGAAUCCGCAUAGAGCUAUCUUGGCCUAGUUAUGAUCAGCAUUUCUUCUGCUUGUACAUAAAAAGUUGUGUUGUUUUGGUUGAAAAUGAUUGUGAGAUGCGGUUAGGGUUUUGAUAAUUCGAUGUCUAUUAAACUAUCUAUACCCUGAUGAGUAAGUUUGAAUUCAGUGCGUGGGUGGGUGAUGUUGUAGGAAUUUUGUGGUGUUCAGCACUCUUUUCGAUUAAAAGGAUUUUAUUAUAUAUACAUUAGUUUUAAGUUGCAGUUAAUGAUAUUAUUGGUUAUGUUUUAAAUAAUAAAAAUAAUUUUUUGAAUCACUUCAUAUUACAAUAAUUCUAUUUUAUUUUUAAUUCAAGAAGUAAAAAUCCUAUCAAUUCAAAGAUUAUAUAUUGAAAUAAUUAAUUGAGCAGAAUAAGAAAUAAAAAUUUUGCCGUAUAACAAUGACACAUCCAAAUACUACACUUUAUCUGAUGUUUAUAGGGGUUAAUAAGGGUAUUUUAAAUGGUACAAAAAAUUAAUAAGGAUAAUUUGGAUAUUAGAAAGUUAUUUAGAAAUUUUGAAAUUUUUUUAAUUAGUUUAUUGAUAAAUAAUAAUUUAAAUAUUAUUAUAUUUCAAUUAUUAUUUAAUUUAUAAAUAAAUCUACUCAUAUGUAAUUAAUUUUUUUUUCUUUUUAAGUUAAUUAUGUAUUAGUCAUUUUAGUCUUAUAAUGCAUGCAAAAACAGAAACAAAAAAGUUUAUUUAUAAAUUUUAAUUUUUAUUAUAUAUAUUCUUUUAUGUAUAAAUAAAUCUAUUUGUAUAUUAUUAAAAUUUUUAAUUAAUUAUGUAUAAUUCAAAAUUAAUUUAUAUUUUAUGAUUUUAAAAUUCAUAGCAUUACAAAUUAUUUAUAUGCAUUAAUAUUAUUGUUACAUUUUAAUUUAAUAUUAGGCUUUAUUUUUUAUUAUUAUUUGAAAGUUACUUCUUUAUUUUUUUUAUUUGAAAGUUAUUUUUUGAUAACAUUUAAUUUCAUAGAAUUUACAAAUGAUCAAUUAUAUAUAUACAUACUCAUACACAUAUGUCAUGAGGGAACUAUAGUCUCACAAACCGUGCGACCUCAAGCAGAUUCUUUAUUUCAAAUUUACAUAAGUCAGCCUAACACUCGAAAAGUGAGAAUUUUUUCAAAAUUUCUCUAAAUCAUCAAAAAAUAUAGCGGAAGCAACUUAAAAGCAAAAGAGCAACGAGAGAAUUGAAAAGUCACAAUAGUACAGAUCCAAUGGGAUAAUUACAAAUGAGGGGGAAGACCUCUAUUUAUAGUUGAGUUCUCGAAAAUCCAAUGAUACAGAUCAAAUUACAUCAACAGCAGAGAUUAGUGCCUAUCUACAAGAUGAGAGUCUUAAGAGAUUUAAACUCUACACAAUUUUAUCCCUUUAAGAUUUACACUAUUUACUAUGGUAACUCUAGUUUUACUAGAGUGUUUUAUUAGGCCACCAAGGCUUCAAGUAGAUGAGCUUUUCCAUAUAUUCCAGAGUUGAGCCAGUUCAAAUAAGUCGAUUGAGCCUCAUUUCAUCAGUUGACCUCCAUUGUAUGUUCUAUGCGCAUUCGUUAUGGGUUUUGAUCCGCAACUUGUGACACAUACAUGUAACUAUUCUUUGAGUUAUUUUUGAGUGAUAAUUUUAUUUCACUUUUGAUUAUUUAUUAUUCUUCCAUUUUUACCAUUGUCUUUAUAAAAAUAUAAAAAAUCAUCUCUCAUUAUCGAUGAGAACUAUGGUUUCCUCAACAAAAUAGUUAUAGAGCUAAUAUUUUUUCAUACAUUUAUCUUAUCGGAAAAAGGAAAGACAAUUUUUUUAUGAGAUUUUCAAUACAAAAAUAUCCACUUGAAUGUUUGUCCUUAUCUUAUUAUGAAGUUGAAUCUCUAAAUAUUCCAACUAUGCUGAUAUAUAUGAAAUUAUACUUCUACCAUGAUAGUUUUUCAAUAUUUUAUGAUUUAUUUAAAAUUUUACAACCCCCAACAAGUAGCAUGUUAUCUCUUAUCAAAUCAUCAAGGUUUGGUUUGUAACACACCAAACCUGACCCUAUAAUAGUAUUCAAGAAUAGUGCGUCACUGCUUAAAAACAGUUAGACUUAAAAUCUCUACGGCAGAAACUUCAAAUAAUAAUUAAAAGGUUAUAGUUAUAAUACAUAUUUUAAUUGUUAUUCUAUUAAAGUAAAAGAACAUUAUCAGUUUGUAAUAAUAUCCAAGGCAUAUGGCGUAUAAAUUUAAAUACGACAACUUCGGUAAUUAAAUACAUUAGCUUAAACUCAGAUGUUAAUACUUUAUGUAAGUUUCGUUAAAACAAAUUAUUAAUAAACAAAAAAAAUUAUGUACACAUGAUUUUCAAAAUAUAUCUAUGUGCCACCCCCUUAAAGCAUGCAUGAUACAGACACAAAGUAAACAUCUCACAGCCUAAACAACUCUCUAGCACAAAGUAAACAUCUCACAGCCUAAACAACUCUCUAGCGUAGUCCUUGAUCAAACUUCCUUCAACCAGAAAAUCUUGAGAAGGUUAAAGGAUAAUAGAGUAAGUUCAUAUGAACUUAGUAUGUUCCAAAGAAAAAUCAUUCAAUUCAUUACUUAAGACUCUUCUGAAUAUCAUUUACAUAUCACACAGAGUACGCCUGCUGGCGUAUACAGAACACAAACAGAUGCAAUAUGCCAACUCUCAACCUGGGCAUAUAUUGAACACUAACUUAACUCAGACAAAUCCAACUUCAUGUGAGCCACGUACACAGAAUUCAGAAUCAAAAGCAUAUCAUUCAGACUUAUUCAUAUUCAUUCUCCCCUUUAGCUCCUUAUAACAUUUUCAUUUUGAACAAUAUGUUUUAUCGUGAUCUGUCAAUCUAGUUUGCAAUAUAUCUACCCUACCGGAGGCUACACAAACAUAUCUUCGUAUCUCCUCCUUCACACAUCAGAUCAUAUCAUUUCUUACAUAUUAGUAGCAGAUGAUACUGGUUUAAUCAUGAAAAAUGAUAUUGACUUCAUAUCAUAGUUCAGAUUACACUCAGACUGAUAACUUUAGAUAACCAUUACCUACACAACAACUUCCCUCUGUUACACACUCACAAACUUUUAAUCCUUUACAAAGGAAGAACACUUACCCUACAUAAAAUAUAAAAUAAUGAAGUUACAACACAUGGAAGUAAGAAGGAACUCACUAGAAACUCUAACACAAAUCUAUAAAGCAGGUCCCUUGCCCUUAUCACUUGGACAUUCGUUAUUUUCUUGAGCUAAAAUAAAGAUAAUUCAAUAUAUCAAAUCAUCAUUCCAUCAAAUUUGAUCAUGCAUGCAAAAAUCAACAACACUUAUACAGAAUUAGGAAGUUUCCUUCCUCACACACCAUUUUAGCACUCAUACAUGCAGAACAAAGAUCACGUAAAUGGCUUAAAGAAUAACCUAGGGUUCAUCAGAAAUUACUAGUAAACUGGCACUAACGAAUAAGUUAACUGAUCACUGCGAACCUUACUCUAAGGAGGGUUUUUCUGAACUUAAGUUUUUAAAGAGUUUUUCAGAGAAAAUCUAGGGAAGAAGAUGAAAUCGUAAAAGUAUUCAGAAAUACUAUCGCAUGACCUUAAAUACUUAAGCUUGGAGACAAUGAUUAGUGGAAAAAUUAGAUAAUUCCACUAACUCUCUUGAUUCCCGUGAUUAAGUGAUCUUAAAUUAAUUUAAGUCUUAUCAUCUAUAGUAGUCUAGUUUUAUUCUAACUAAGUCUCAACUUAAUUAGCCAAAUUAUCAAACUUAAGUAAUAAACAAAUCUAACAACUACGAACUUAUUGAGUUCGCCAAAACCUCUGAGUUGGGUGGAUACUAAACAGAAGAGCCCGUCAAACUGCAGAACACACCAAAACAAAGAGUUCACCGAAUGGCGCAUAUGCACAAAAUCCUAUACUUAGUCAAAACAAACACAUUACUUACUCACAUCUAUCCUUAUUUUACCAAAACACAUCAAAUAGUAACUAGAUGAUACAGAGGCUUCGUCGAGCGGCUGUUACAUGGUUGUUACUUCACUAGUAUAUAUUUCAUUUUGAUUACAUGCUUCGUAUUUUUAUUUUAUUUACUUCAAAAUAGAAAGUAUUUACUCUUUAAAUUUCUAUUUAACUCCUUUGUAUUAUUCUACAAGUUAUUACGAGUAUGAAGUCUAAAAAACUUUUUAACUUCUCAACAAACUUAUAGUUUCUUACCUUUUUUCAUAUGGUUAAUAGUGAAUUCACAUGUGUAGUCUCAUCGAGCUGGAGUGUGGCACUCAAUUUUUUAUUGUUUUAAACUUAAAUAUAAAAUAUUGUUAUAUUGUCUUAGGGGCUUCAAUCAAUCUUAUCUAUUUAAUGUAUAUUAAUAUCUUUUUAAGGAAAAUGCAUAUUUAUAUAUUCUCUAAUUAUAACAAUUUAUUUUUAUUUAUUUUGAUGUUAAAUAAUUUAAUAUAAAAAUCAAUAAGUUGAAUGUUUAUAUAUUAUUUAUUGUUUUGGUUUCUUUGAUGCAUUUAUUAGUUGAGAAUUAUAUUUUAAAUAUUAUUUUUUUACUUUGGAAGAUCAAUUAUUUUUGGGUAACUUAUAACCAUAUUAUAUUUUUUUUAGAUAAAAAUGUCAAAAAAAAAUUAUAACAUCCAUGUAAUUAUAGCUUCAAUUUACAUAUUUAAAUUUGGGAGAGCAAAAAGAGAGCGCAUUUUAUUGAUCAAUCAGAAUCUUAUACAAUGCUUCUCCAAAGUCUAUAUUUAUAGACAUAAGAAGUAUAAAUGAAAUGAAACUCUACUUCUAAUGACUAUUAGAAUUUAAAGUAAAUCAAAACUUAUCUAGAUCUUGAUGGAUAUCCACUUAAUAAAAUAUUCAUAAUACUCCCUCUUGGUCUUGGAUAUCCAUUCGUAGACAAUGUAUCUCAUUAAAACCUUACUAAGAUAAAAACCUUGUGGGAAAAAAAUUCUUAGUGAAAGGAGAAAAGUACACAUCUCUAUUAUACGCAUAAUCUGCUCCUUAUUAAAAACCUUACUAGGAAAACCCAAUGGGACAAAAUAUCGAUUAAGGAAAAAAAAGAGUACAUCGCGUAUUUAUUCUCCCUCAUGAAAACAUCACAUAAUAUCUUAUAUUCUAUGUAUUCAAUCUUGAAUACUAACUUUUCAAAUGACUAUUUGAAUGUAUUGCUAAGCAUUUAUAUUAUCAUUCUUUUAAAAGUCAUGAGUAAGGGGAAAUUUUGGGGAAAUAUAUUUUGAUCUCUUUAGUAGUUUCAACAAUAAUUAUAACAAAAUUUAAUCAUGAUCCCUCUAUAAAAAUACAAAUAGGUAUUUUGGAUCAUUUUAUAAUCCUCUUUCAACUAGUAUUAACUAAGUCAAAUUUACCACAUAUGUUUAAUUAUUUCAAUUCAUAUAAAUGAACAAUUUCCCAAUAAUUUCAAUAUGCCUCUGGCAUUCUAAAUCCUUCAAGAUUUUAAUAUAAACUUUACUAUAUAGUGAUUCAUAAAAAGCUUGUAACAACAACUAUUAGACGCAAAUUAAAUCUUUUAUGAAUUAUCAAUUUAAUAAUAUAUUUAAAGGUUAUUACAUCCACCACAAAAGAAUAUUAUAUCUUUUCAUAAUCAAUGUCAAGGCUUUCUGAAAAACUUUAUAUUUUUAUUCCGUUUUUGCAAAACUAUUUCAUUUGUACCCUCACUGGCUUUAUACUUUUAGAUAUUUGGACUACUGGUCCAAAAACUCCACAAAUUUAAUUGUACUUAAGUUGUGUCUUUCUAUUUUGAUCAAUUUAUUCCAUAUCUAUAUUUCUCAACAGAUUUAUUCAAGAUCCACCUUUUAUUUUAUUAUUUCAACAAUAAUAUUGCAUGCAAAACCAUUGUCGACCACUUUUAUUAUCGGUUCCACAUUCUCUUGAAUUGACAAAACGUAUCGAGAUUUAUUUAUUUUCACUAUUUUAAUCUUUAGUUUCAGGUACCUGAAUCUCUUUUGGAGUUUUAAUUAUGUCUUGGGUAUCUUCUGGAGCACCCACUUCCACUAUAUAACCAUCUAUAUUUAUUAUUUUCUUUUAUGAGAAUUUUCAUAUUUGGAACUUGUAAUGAGUUAUCCUUGUUGAACUUCUGGUUCAAAUUACUCUCCCUCCUAACUCAUUACAAUUUAUUAUUUCUCUCCCCCUAAUGUCGGGAAAGCUAUUGAAUCAAAAUAGUAAUCACAAAUCAUGUUAUAAUUGAAUCUCCAAUACAUUUAAAACAUAUAAUAAUACAAGACUCGUAAUUAAUAUCACUACACCAGAACAGGUUUUUAGCGGCGUUUUUUUAGGCCUUUAGCGGCGCUUUUUAACGCCACUAAAGGCAUUUGCGGCGCUUUAGGAAGCGUCACAAAAAAUGCCACUAAGGAUAAUGUCGCUAACUUUUUGCGGCGCUUACAGAAAAAAACGCCGCUAAAGGUCAUGUUCUUUAGCGGCAUUUAGAAAAAAACGCCGCUAAAUAUCAUGUUCUUUAGCGGCGCUUGUGCAAAAAACACCGCUAAAGAUCAUGUUCUUUAGCGGCGCUAAGAAAAAAAGCCGCUAAAGAUCAUGUUCUUUAGCGGCGCUAAGAAAAAAACGCCACUAAAGAUCGUGUUCUUUAGCGGCGCUUGGGAAAAAAACACCGCUAAAGAUCGUGUUCUUUAGCGGCGCUUGGGAAAAAAACGCCGCUAAAGAUCAUGUUCUUUAGCGGCGCUUUAUCUACAAACGCCGCUAAAAGUAGUGUGCUUUAGCGGCGCUUAUUUCAGAAACACCACUAUAUGAUAUAACUUUUAGCGGCGCUUUUUAAAAAAACGCCACUAAUUUUGAGAUUUUUUAAAAUAAUUUUUUUUGUUUUUUUCAGCCCUCCUGCAACAACAAAUUAAAAGCAACCAGAUCUAAACUAACCAAAAACAAUAAAUUUAUAUAAUAUUUCAAAUUAAAUGACUAAAAUGAUAUUAAUAUCAAUAAAUAAAAGUGAAUUCAUACUUUUCUUUAAAAAAACGUUAAAAGUUAGAAUGAUAAAAAUAUUUAUGCAACAUACAUUAUGUAGGCGGAAGUUGCGACUGCUGAAACAUCUUCAUCAUAAUCUGAAGUUGCUGUUGAAGUUCGUCGUACUUUUUGCUCUGCUCUGCUUCUCUCGAUGCCGCAUCUACUUGAAGUCGUUGCUGUAGUUCUUCAUAUUUCUUUUGAACCUUUGCUUCUCUCGCUGCGGCAUCUGCUUCUCUCGCUGCGGCAUCUACUUCUCUUGUUGCAGCCUCUGCUUCCCUUGCUGCCGCCUCUGUUUUAAGUUGUUGCUGAAGUUCUUCAUAUUUCCUUUGAACCUCAAAUGUGGUCGCUUGCAUCUGAGCCAUCUGGUCUUUUAACCUCUGAACUUCAGUUUGAGAUUGACUCCCCGAAGCCAUGUAUUGGUGCGAGCUGGUUCCAAAAUAUUGGGUUGGGCUGAUAAAAGAUCCUUGAAAUCGAACCCGACCAUACCUUUCUGGACCCAAACUUCAGUAAUAAUCCAGUUGUCAAUGUCUUCAAGAUGAAUAGAACUAUCAGUAGAAGCAAUCGCUUUGUACUCUGCCUUUUUAUCCUUUAGUUUUUCCUAAUAAAUAAAUCACAUAGUUAGGAACACAAUAUAUAUUAAAAAAAACAAAUGCAAUAUAACAAUAGUCGCAUUAAAAGCAAUAAAUUAAACCAUUAGAAAAGAAACACUAUAAAUAACUAAAACAAGUCAAAUCGUAUUAAGUAAACGUACCAUAAUUUCAACAGCUUCAAGAGUCAUAGCAGAUCCAUCUUUCUUCUUAUGUGUAAUUUCAAAAAGUUGAAGGCGUCCAACUUUUUGACCGGACGCCCGUUCCUACAAUAUAGUAGUAAAAAUAUUAUUUAAUAGAAAGUUAUACAUAUUGUAGAAUAUUAAAAAAUUAAAAAUACCUCCGCCUCAGCUACACAUGCAAAACUUCUCGACCCGGCUGUGUGAGUGAAUUUUUGUUGCUGCCGGCUGCUUUUUCCAACUCGUUCACGAUCCUACGUUAUAAAAUUUUUAGAACGUAAAUAGUAAAUAGUAUAAACCAAAAUAAUUACAAUAGUUUGGAAGUACGUCGUACCUCGCCUUUCUUCGAAUGCCAAAAUCUAACCGCAUCUUCCCAUUGGUACCUCAACAUACCCGGCGGGACAUUUUACAAUUUCUCAUCGAGGGUUGUUUUUGUCUUAUAAUAAUUUUUCUUCAACGUACUUUUAUUGUCUCUCCAUCUUUUUCCCAAUGCCUUUUUUACAUAAGCAUCGGAGACCUCUAAAGCAAACCUCGCCUACAAAAAACACAAGUUAAUAAAGUAAAUAUAAAUGAAACUAUCCCAAGCAUUACAGAUGACAUUAACAUUUUGUUACCUUAAUAUUAUCGAGGGCUUGGUUUUUGUUGCUAUCGGGCAUUUCACGCCAUGACUCGUAGUUGAUAGGCAACAUAUUUGCAUUUCGUGUUAAAAUGCCCAUGUAUCCUGCUAAAAGUCGAGCUUCUGAUCCAACAGGCUGACCAAAACUGUUUCUGCAUACCUUGACACGCACGACUGGAUCUAACUCGUACAACUCUUUAAGUAGCGUACGUCCUCGACCUCUGCGCGUCCCACCAUUUUCAGCUACAAAUAGUAUAUUAUAAUAUAAGAAUUUGAAAAAUAAAUCAACUAUAAGUUAACACGCAUGUAAAUUAAAUGUAAAAUUACUUUGAACUUCUGUAGGAUCCUCAGCUGGAAUCGGAACAUUCGAAGAUCCAAUUGCUGUCUGUUGUUCAGUACUAUUUGUUUCUGUCGAGUUUGGAUCAUUUUGAACAAUGCUUCCCCUUAGAAUUUUUCUUCUAGGCAUUUUAUCUGCAAUACACAUAAAAUAGUUGAAAACUUAAUAACUAAUUAUAACAAUAAUAGCACAUAUAAAACAAUUGAUAUGAUAUAAUAAGACCAAGAUUUAAAUGAUGAUAUUACAUAUAAUUAAACAAUCGUAAAAUCUUACUACAUCAUUAUUCGUAAAUAUCUUCAUCCGAAUCCUGACGAACCCAUUGAAAUUGUGCACUAGUACUAGGGAUAUUAUCGUUUAAGUCUUGUUCUGGAAAUGACAAAUUUUCUGAUCUGUCGUCGAUGUUAUCUCUACUUCCACUGCCCAUGUCAAACAAGUCUCUAGGGAUGUUACGGAGUACAACGUACCAACCCUCAUCAGUUGGAUCUUUUGAGUAAAAAACUUGUUUGACUUGACUUGAGAAUACAUACGGCUCAUCUAUCAGUUGUUGUCCUGUGUGAAUCAAUCGGUCAAAGUUCACCAUUGUAAAACCAAAUUGAUCUUGCUUGAUUCCACGAGCUGUAUUAACAUCGGCCCAAUCACCUCGAAAUAAGACAACUUUCCAUUUACCGUAGUAAUCCAACUCAAUAAUGUCAGUAAGCUGUCCGAAUAUUCCACAUUUCCCUCGACAGGAUUAUUGUCCCUAGCGCUAGCAUAACUUGUAAUUGCAGAAUUAACAACUAUUCCACAAUUUUGCGUUCUCCUCAACCUCUCGCGAUAUUUUGUAUGAAAUCUGAAUCCGUUGAUGAGGAACACACUAUAUCUUUUAACCACUCAAUUUGGACCUUGGGAUAGCCAUUUAACUUCGUCGUUUACGCUCUUCCCACUCCAAACCUAUUGAAUGGAAAGGAAACUGACUAAUUAAAAAUCUUAUGAGAAAGCAUUAUAAUUUGUAAGCGGAAGCUCGAACUGCAUACCGUUUGACACAACCAUUCAUAAAAAGAUUCUGUAAACAACUUAUUGAUAUCUCGAUGUUGUGUUCUUCGGGAGCGCGAACGAUAUCUCAAUAUUUGUUUAUACUCACUAUGUUUAAAAAAAUGUGAUCUUUGUUUGAAGAUAAACAAUUUUUAGUUUGAUAAAUAUUUAUAAAAUUUGUAGAACUUACUUCCGUAAAGGUUCCAAUGAUUCGUGGUGAAACAGAACAUAUCGAUGUGCUUGUACCCACGAUAAAUGAUCUAAUUCUGCAAUUUCAACUUUGCUGAUUGGUUCUCCAAAACUUUGGAACAAAUAAAUAUCGGCUAAGUUAUAGUCCGUGAGUCCAGCAUUCCUAUUUGGUCUGUUCAACCUUGUUUCGACAUAUUCCAAAUAUCUUGAGCAGAAGUCAUACAUUCUUCAGCCAAGUAGCCUUCAGCAAUCGAUCCUUCUGGAUAUCGCUUGUUGCGGCAGUAAGACUUUAAUUUGGAUAGGAACCUAAACACAAUAUACAACAUUAUCAAAAGUUGUAACUAAAGGCAUAGAGGUGAAUGAAGAAAAAUUUUAAAAAUACUUCUUUAACACCUUUCUAUGGGAUACAUCCAUCGAUAGAAAACGGGUCCACCAAGAGUUGCUUCGUGCGGGAGAUGAAUUAUCAAGUGAACCAUAAUGGUGAAGAAGGUAGGUGGGAAGAUUUUCUCCAUGUUGCAUAAAGUCCAAACGGCUCGAUCCUGUGCCUUCUGAAGUUCUUGAACAUCCAAAACUUUGCCACAAAUAGCUUUCAUUAUGUUGGAUAGUUCAAUGAUACAAGACGUCACCUUCUUGGACAUACAACAUCGUAGAGCAACUGGCAUUAAAUCUUGCAUCAAGAUGUGAUAGUCAUGUGAUUUUAGCGAAUAUAAUCUUCGAUCUUUAACACUAACACAUUGAGAUAUAUUUGAUGCAUACGCAUCUGGAACCUUUAUAUCCUUCAACACCAUGCAAAACAGUUCUUUCUCCGUCUUGGACAUUGAGAAAAUAGAAGGCGGCAACUGAUAUUUCCCAUUCGAAAGUGGAUUGGGAUGAAGAUCAGGUCGAAUUCCCAUUUGGACUAAAUCAAGUCGACUCUGAAGAUUGUCUUUUGAUUUUCCGUCGACGUUCAAAAUUGUAUCCAUAAUGUUCUCGCAGACAUUUUUCUCAAUGUGCAUAACAUCAAGAUUGUGUCGUAAAAGGUGAUGCUCCCAAUAAGGCAACUAAAAAAAAAUACUUCUUUUUUUCCACAAGUCCGCCUCAUUAGGAUCGUCCUCUUCGUCGGAGCUUUCAUCAGCUUCAUCAUAUGAUCUUCUGUUUCUCUGCGUGUUUGGCGGUUGGUUUAUCUUCCCAUAAAUGAAAUUCAUAUCUUCCAACAUGAACAAUAUUUCAGAGCCACUGGUCUGGGAAGUAGUUUCUAUGAACUCUUCAGUGCCGUCAAAUACAGAACUCUGAAAUCUAAAUUUAUGAUUUUCUGGUAACCACCGACGAUGCCCCAUGUAAGAGAACUUCUUCCCAUUGUACAACCAUUGCAAACAUGUUUGUGCAGCACAACAAGGACACGCGUAACGACCCUUGGUACUCCAACCGGAUAAAUUGGCAUAAGCAGGAAAGUCAUUAAUGGUCCACAUCAAAGCUGCACGUAAAUUAAAGUUCUCUUUUCUCAACAUAUCGUAUGUCUCGACACUAGCCCAUAAUUGUUUUAACUCUUCAAUAAGUGGCUGUAAAUAAAUGUCGAUAUCAUUCCCAGGCCCUUUCUCCCCAGGGAUAAUCAUAGAUAAAAUAAGGGAGGAUUGCUUCAUGCAAAUCCACGGAGGCCGAUUGUAAGGAACAAGCACUACUGGCCAAGUACUGUACGCAGUACUCAUGAUCUUGAAAGGAUUAAAUCCAUCAGAUGCUAGCCCAAGCCUCACACUCCUAGGAUCGCUUGCAAAGCUUGGAUAUUUAUUGUCAAAUGAUUUCCAAGCUAAAGAAUCUACCGGAUGCCUCAUCUUUCCAUCAUCGGUUCAUCCGUCAUGGUGCCACGUCAUAGACUCCGCUGUCUUCGACGACAUGAAAAACCUUUGAAGCCUUGGUAUCAGCGGAAAAUAUCGUAAAAUCUUGACCGGCUUCUGACUUGGUUGUGCAACAUUUUCAUCGUCGUUCCCACCUUCUGUGUUUUUACUUAUCCAACGGGAGUGGCCGCAUACAUGACAGCACUGUUGAUUUCUCCGAUCGCCCCAAUACAACAUGCAGUCAUUUGGGCAACUAUGGAUUUUGUUGUACCCAAGGCCUAAAUCUUUUAUCAUUUUCUUCAUAUCUUUGCAUGACCGAGGGAUUUUUUGCAAAAGGAAACAUUUCUCCCAAGAACUUUAACAGCAUUGUCAAAGAGUUCCCGGUCCACCCUCCCAAACAUUUUAAUUGAAAAAGACGAACACAGAAAGACAUUUUUGAAAAUUUAGAUCCCUCAUACAGUUCUUCGUUCAUGUCAUUAAGUAGCGCAUAGAACUUCGCCGCUUCUUCGUUCGGCUCUUCAUGAGGUACACUACUUCCCGGUUCGGUAAAAGCAUUUCUCCCAAUAUUACAAUCAUCAGAAGCCACAAAGUCCACUGGGAACGACUGGACGCCAUGAUUAUGCAUACUAAAUGCAUCCCGCAACAUGCCUUCCAUGUCAUCCCCUCUAUCAGACUGAUGGUAAGCAGUACCAGAGUAAGAUACAUCCAUCGUUGAAGAGGAAGUACUACGCGGGCAUUCUCCAUGAAAUAACCAUUGUUUAUAACCCCGAACAAACCCAUCAACAAUUAGAUGCUCGUAUACAACCUCACGAUAAUGCCAGUUUAUGUUGACACACUUCUUACACGGGCAAAGAAUCAUGUUCUCUUGGCUUGCAUAUUGAAAUGCAAAAUUUAGAAAAUACUGUACUCCAUUUCGAUAACCAUUGCUAACCCUUGACAAAUUCAUCCAAGACCGGUCCAUUUCUUAAUUCUUGAAUUCUGACGUUCACAAUAAUUUGCACGGGUAAGUUAAAACGCCAGUUAUAACCAUAAAUGAAUUUCAGAAAUUUGUGAUAUGAUAUAUUUUUAUGUAUUAUGUAAGUUAUGUAACUUACGUAAGUUACCAAAUUAAUGUAUGCUAUGUAAGUUGUAAGUUAUUAUGUAUUAUGUAAGUUAUGUAUUAUGUAGGUUAUGUAAGUUGUGUAAGAUAUUUAAGUUAUGUAAGUUUUGCAUUAUGUAAGUUAUGUAUGCUAUGUAUAAUGUAAGUUGUUAUGUAUAAUGUAAGUUAAUAUGUAAGUAAUGUAUUAUGUAAGUUUAUAUAAAAAUUUUAUAUAAGUUAUGUAUUAUGUAAGGUAACAUAUAAGUUUAUGUAAGUUAUGAAUGUAAGUUAUGUAUUAUGUAAGUUAUUUAAAUUAUUUAAGUUGUGUAUUAUAUAACUCAUGUUGCUAUGUGUAAUGUAUGUAAAUUAUGAUUUAUAAACGCUUUAAAAUUUUCAAAUAUAUCAAUAUAAUUUUAACAAAUAUAUUAAAACUGUAUAUAAAUAUAUAUAUCAAAGAUGUUUUAAAAUAUAACUUUGAAUACAUUUCAUUUAAAAUUUAAUUUUGUAGCUAUAAUCUCCGGAUAAUUCAAAGAUCGUUACGAUAUGAUGUAUAUUUUGUAGCUUUUAUUAAUUCAAACAACAAAUUAUGUCAGUAUUUAUAAAAAAAACAUUGACUUCGAAUUACAAGAUAUAAUUAAUUUGUUUAUAUUUAUGAAAACAAUUUUUGUUAUUAAAGAAAUAAUACUUUGAAUUGCCAUUACAAAAUAAAUAUAUUUCGAAAAAGUAUAUUUUUAUUUUAAUAGAAAAUAUAAAUAAAUAUACAAAUUUAUUUGUAUGUAAAAGAUUAUUAAUCAUUAACAUAAAACCAUUAUGUAAGUUAAGAUCGAUAAUUAAUCAUUAAUUUGAAGUAAAAUUUAUAAUUGCAACACAUAAUAUCGGAAAUCGAUGAUUUGUAAACGCUAAACUGAUUAAACGAUUCGCCCAUAAUUUAUUCAAUUACUCAAAUAUAUAAAUUUGUUUAAGAGUUGUAUUCCGAAUUUUAAUAGUUUAAAACAAUUGCCUUUGCCGAAUAUCUUGAGCAGAAAAUUUAAACAUCAAAUAAUGUAAUAAGCUGCAAAGUCAAAUGCAAAUUUAGCUAAAAUGGUAAUUAAAACUCCCAUCUAAAAAUGAAAAAUAAUAAUUCAACUAUACAAUUAAAAUAUAACAAAAAAAAUUUAACAAUUUGACUUUUUUUAAUAAGAAACCUAAAUAGAGAAAAAUAGGAAUAAAUACCUUAAAUUGCCUCAAUUCCGAAGCAAAUCCUGGAAAAAAAAGACAGAAAUACAUUAGUACCAAAAAAAUAGAAGUAAUUAAAGCCAAAAAACUAAAAAAAACAAGAGUUUAUACUCACAAAGUUAGCUAAACUAAAAAAACUAAAAUUGAACAUAUAAAUGAAUACAUAUAUGAAUAUAUGUUGAAACAUGACAGUGAAUUAGAUGAUAUUAGAGGUUUAAAAUUGAACUUAUAUAACUGUUCUGAAAUUCCCAAAAUUGAACAUAUAUAUAUAUAUAUAUGUUCCCAAAAUAACAUUUGUCAUAUUUGCAAGUUAUGCAAAGCUAUUUAUGGACAGAAACAUACGCAUUUUAAACAUUUAUAAAUUUCAUAGCUUUAUUUUUUUAUAUAUCUGAUUGACCUCAUGAACAACAUGAUAACAGAAAUGAGUCUUAUAUAUUUUGUAAUCAAUUUUUGCAGGCAUUGAAGGCUAAAUUGGCGAAAAAUAGUGAACUUCAACUCAUCUGCUUCAGCUUGUUUGAUUUUCUGUUUUCAUUUGCAUCUUCUGUUUUCAUUUGCAAAUUGAAUUCUCUGCAAUUCUCUGCAACAUUUAUUCAGCAAAUUGAAUUUUCUGUUUUCAUUUGUAUCUUCUGUUUUCAUUUGCAUCUUCUAAUUUCUAAUUUCAUUUAUCCAAGUAGCAUAGAUUAAAACCGGUGUUUAUUUCUUCUUUUCUAACAAAAUCCUAACCAAAUAACUGACAUUUAUAAUAAAAAAAUCAUAACAUAAAUAAAAUACCAAUAAAACAUAAAGCACAACAAUGUUAUUGUCAACAGAACAUAACUAAAGAUUUAAAGAAAAAGAACAGGGAAAUAAACAAAAUGAAGGGAGAAACACGCAGAAAUCCCCAAACCCUAGACAUGCAGAAAUCCCCAAAUUCUCCAAAUUCUCAAUCCCUAAAUCAAGAUACAGUAUUUCGAAAGGAAAAAACGCUUACCUUUUAACCACAAAUUCCGCAGCUUUGAUAGUAUCCUGUGAAGCUUGAAUAAACCCUUGCUUCGUUUGCCUUGCUUCUGAGUUCUCCUCUCAAAUUUUUUUCUUUGUAUUUUUUCACGAUUUCUGGGGAAAAGUUUGGGGGGCCUUUUUGGGGACGAAAUACGUUUUUCGGCUAAGUGUUGGGAUGAAAUACAGAAUGAACAAUUGCGGCGUUUGUAAUAUAGCGCCACUAAUACCGUUAAUGUGGUAGAUAAACGACAGCGUUCUUUUAAAACUGUAAAGCAAAUUUGUGGCAUUUUCUCCUCGCGCCGCUAAAACAUACCUUUACUGGCGCUUUUACAAUUGCGCCGCAAAAGCCAGUAAAUUCCCGAACAAAAACUACAUCGUUUUGCCCAAACUAUUCAUAAUUUUUUGCGGCGUUUACGAAUAAAACGCCGCUAAUGCCCAUUUUUCUGGCGUUUUCUACAAAAACGCCACUAACAAAUUAAAUUCUUCUACUGAAACGACACCAUUUUUUAGAUAUUUUAAAACAUUGUUUUUUUAAUUCAUAUUUAAAAACACAAUAUAUAAUUACAAAUUGCGGCGUUUACGAAUAAAACGCCGCUAAUGUCGUUAAUAUGCAAUAGAAAACGACAACGUUUUGAUUAAAAUACAGAGCAACUUUGCGGCGUUUUCUUCCUAGCGCCUCUAAUACCCAACCUUAGUGGCGUUUUUGCCCUUGCGCCGCGAACGCCGUUAAAUUCUCAGCCAAAAACUACACCGUUUUUACCAAAUUAUUAAUAACUUUUGCGGCGUUUUUGCUCAAAACGCCGCUAAAUCUCACAUCUUUUACUUAGUAUUAUUUCUUUCUUUCUUUCUUUCUUCCAUGUUUCAUUAGAAUUUUAAUUAAUUAAUUAUUAAAAUUUUAAGUAAUGUUUAAAACUAUCUGAUAAAAUUAUAAAUUUUAGUUUUUUUUAUUUCAUUUUUAUAUUUUUUUAUUUUUUCAUUUAUUUUGAUCCUAUCCAAAUUAAAUAUAAAUAAUUACUAUAUAUAUAUAAAAUAUCGAAUUGCUAAUGUUAAAUAUUUUUAAAUUUAAAUUUUAGUAAUUAAAUGUAUCAUUUAACAAGCUGUCUAAAAUAAACCAAAACCCUAAUUAAUGAUCACUGAACCUCCACCAAUUGUAGGAUUCUUGACAUGUGCUAUCGGUGCCCUAGGAACAUUGCCAAAAUACCGAAAGGGGGCAUUUGUUAGCUUCCAACCCUCCAAAUCCCGUCGUUCAUCAAUAAAUAUUUUUAAAACGAUCCUUUCUACUUAAAUUAGAAGGCUGAACCAGAUUUUGUAGAGUAGUGAAAAAGAUUUGGAGAAACAAAACCGGACGGUCACUACUUAAUAUUAAAUUUAUUAUUAUAUAUUUUACAAACAUAUAAGAACAUAUUUAAUAUAUAAAUUAAUAAAACUAAUUAAUCUAAGCAACCAUGAUCCCUAACUUGAGUAGUACCCUUAAUUGACACCCUAAACCCUAAAUCCCUAAACCCUAAAUCCCUAACCCCUAAAUCUCAUAACCCCUAAAUUCCUAACCUUUAACUCCUAACCCCUAAAUUCCUAACCCCUAACCCUUAAACCUUAUAUCCCAAACCCUAAUAAUCAUAUAUACCCCCUAUAUAUAUACCUUCCAAAAAAUUCCCUAAAUCUUUAAUAAUCAUAUAUAUAUAUAGUUGAAUUGGUGAAGUGAUAACAAAAGGAAUGAUAGCGAGUUAGGACGUAUAUAUAUGCAUAUAUUUUAAUUAAUUGAAUGAGAUCAAUUCAAAUUCACAAUUUGAUUUAAGUAUUUAAUUAAAUGUUUGUCAUUAAAAAUUUUAUAAUUAGUUGAGUAUUACGUACUAUUUCAACCUUGAAUUUAAAUUAAAUAAUAUAUAUUAUCCAUCAAAUUUUUUAAUCCUAAUAAAAAACAUAAUUUUAAAAUUUUAACCUUUUUUUUGGAUGUUGAUCACAUCCACAAUAUAUAACCAGAUCAUUUGAAUUAAUUAACUUAAUACUAUAUUAAAUUAAUAAUCAUAUAUAUAUACCUUAAACCUAAUUAAACCCUAAAUUAACUAUACUGAUAAUUAAAUAAUUCAAUAUUUUAAAUUUAAAAUCAUACUAUAUCUGUUUUACGAUUAUAUAAAAAAAUUUUACUAUAUAUAAUAAUAUAAAAAAUAAGCAGUAUUAAUUCAUGUAUCCAAAAAUCUUAAAAAUUAUUUUAAAUAAGAGUAAUUUAAUUUUUUUCCAUGUGAUUUAUUUCAAAUUAUUUUUAUGUGUUAUUUUUUCUGAAUAUUUUAAAUAUUUAAUUAGAUUUAAGUUGAAUUUUAUUUAAUUAAUCUAAAUAAUAAACCAAUUAAGAUAAAAUGUUUUUUUGCGGCGCUUCAACAAAAACGCCGCUAAAACCUUAACAUUAGCGGCGUUUAUCAUAAAAAACGCCGCUAAAAAUCUUAACUUUAGCGUCGCUUACAUAAAAACGCCGGCUAAGACCAAAUAUUCGCGGCGCUUCAAAGAAAUCGCCACUAAAUACCUUAACUUUAGCGGCGGUUGAUUAAAAACGCCACUAAAACCCCCGACCAUUAGCGGCGAGAUCCUAAAAACGCCGCUGAAAGUAAAAGCAUUAGCGGCGCAAAUACAAAAACGCCACUAAAGCCCUUCGAAGACCACCAAACGACGUCGUUGGGAUUUUUUUUGGCGGUGUUUUUGACAAAAACGCCGCUAAUGCAUAUUUUUAGCGGCAUUUUCUUAGAAACGUCGCGAAAGCUCAUUUUUUAGCGGCGCCUGACUUUUACCGGUGUUUUUUUAUCGAAACGCCACUAAAAGUGCCGCUAAAACCCUGUUUUGGUGUAGUGUAUAUAUUCUCAACUUUCGUUUAUGAUUUACUCAUCUUUGUGCGUUGUGGUGGAUCAAUUAAAGCAUAUACGCACAUACAAAAAUUCAAAGAUAAGAAAUAUUUAGCUCUUCACCAAAAACCAAUUAUAAUGGGAAAUAUUUAUAACUUAUUGGCUUGAUGCGUACAACACGUAAAUCAAUAUAAUUUCAUGUUGAAAUAGGAAGUUUAGUUCUCAUAAUUAAUGGUUUUGAUAUUAAUUAGAGGCGUUCAAUUAAUAAUUUCUCUAAACCGUUUGCGCAUAAAUAACAAGCUUUUACAAAAGUUUUUCAAACUCAAUCAAUAAAAGACUAAGAUAUAAACUCAUUAGCAUAGUCUGGAUUUAAUUAUUUAAACAAACAAUCUUGCAAAUGGCAUGUUGCAAAUUGAUAACACAUAUGUGAUUAUUUUGUAGAUACACCUACCAGGAAUCAUAUAAUAUCAAAAUUAUCCACAUGGUGAAUGAAUGAACCUAUAUUCAUUUUAGAAAUGCAAGACAUUUUAUCUUAACUUUAGCUAGUGAGUUUAUAAUAGACAAUUUUCAUUGAGAACAAGCAACAAAUGAGAAUUGUUUAAAUUAAAGAAUCUUUUGGUUCUUUAAUGAAUGUUCAUAUGAAUUGUCAAUUAAUUUUCGCAUAAUAUAUGAUUCAGGAUAGUCUAACUGGUCACACCAAGUAGUAAGUGCAUUUGUAUCAGUAAACUUCUAGUUUACUUUAACAUGCAUUUCAAUUGUAUUGAUAAUGUCAAUAUAAAUUGUGACAAAUUGAUAAUUUUACUGUCAUUCCUUUUAUUUUUUAUCCAUAUAUAAGUACUAUUGUGACAUUUACUACUGGAAAUGUCUAAAUCAAUGCGAAGUCGAAAUCACCAUUUUCUAGGUGUACAAUAGGUAUAUAACCAAUUGUUUUUCAUACAUAAGUUUUUUCUCUUGCAAGUUCUCAUCGGUAAUAUUUUUCCACGUAAUUUUAAUUGAGAACUUAUUCUGAAUAUUGUAGAGUUAUACUAACAGUUAUAAAAAAAAUUUACAAUUUCAGGUGCAUCCAACCAUAACGAGCUUUAGAUAGAAUUACAAUAUUCUAUUGCUCAUAAUUAGAUCUUUCUCAGUUAAAUAUUUUGCUUUCAACCCCUUAAUGGAGAUGGUGACAAAAGAAGAUCACAAAGAUAGUCACAAUCAAUUCAAUUUAAUAACAAGAUUAAUCAAUAAUUCAAUCCUCUUUUGAUUCAUAUGAAAUGUAAUAUUUUUCUCAUUCACAAUCUCAAUAUGAGAUCCAUUAUGAAUAUAUUUUAAAACCAAUGAAUUAACCAUUACAAGAUAUUAAUAUAUUAGCUCAGUUGGAGCUUUCGACUAAUUUUGUAUUGCCAAAUAUUAGAAUAAUAUUGGUUUUUAUUUUCUUUUAUACUUGCGUUCACUUCGGGGAAUACAAAAUAUUUACUAGGACGAACUUAUAAACGUCCUAAUAGAUUCAUUAUUUCAUAAUCACGAUCGCAAACAUACUUGGAUUUCAAAUUAUAAUCUAUCUAUUCAUGUUGUCGUAAUUAGUCUCCAAUUAUAAAAAAACAUGAUAUAAUAAAUAAAUCAUAGUAAAAUAUACUUGAAGAUCUUUAACAUUAUUGUCAUCACCCACGUAAGGAUUAUAUAAAUUUAUUUAGAUAAUGAUUACCCAUGGUGCGCAGGUCUCAAUUGAAGAUUGAAAUUGCAAUAGCUCUAGAAGGCAAUUAACAACAACCAUGAGCAGCAUAUUUGGAGUGAUUGUAUUAAAAAAAAUAAAAGAGAAUCGUGCUGAUAACGUAUUAUAAAAUAAAUAGACAGAGAGUGAGAGAGUGUGUAUUUUAUUGAUCAAUCGGAAUCUUAUAUAAUGCUUCUCCAAAGUCUAUAUUUAUAGACAUAAGAAAUAUAAAUAAAAUAGAAAUAUACUUAUAAUGCUUCCUUGACUUUAAUUCUUUUCAAUUAUCAAGAAGUAUAAAAUAGCAAAAAGGAACAAAGCUUUUGUCAAUUGAUUUAAACGGAACAAAGAUAUCAAUUUUUUUUAUAGUGGUUAGUCAUAUUAUUUAAAUAAUACAAUAAAUUUUUAUUUUAUUUUCAGAUUAUAAGAUAAGUUUCACAUCCCAAAGAUUAAAUUAUGGUACAUAUUUAUAUUAUUUCUACAAUUAAAAAAUUUACAAAUUUCUUUUCACUUGAAUUUUAGGAUCUUGAUUAUUAUUAUUAUGGGGACUAUCACUCAUUUAAUUUAAUUAGUCAUAUCUCCUCAAAUUUCAUUUUUUAUUGACUACAUCUUUUACUAGUUUUUCUUUAUAAAAAAAAAAUGUUGUAUCAAUUUAUUUAAAACUUAUAUUCGUUGUGAUAUAUAAAAUUCAUCUACUAUUUAUUAACGAAUAAAGUAAUUACUUAUUAAACAUAAGGGCAGAGGAAAGAGUUAUAAAUACUAAGAUUUCAAACUUAGAAAAACUUUUUUUAUAAUUUUUACGAUAGUAAAAAUACAAUUUCACCAUUUAUAACUUUUAAAGGAUUAAAUCAAAAUUUUAUCAUUUUUAGGGAGAUAAAAUACAAUUUUACUAUUAUUAAUUUAAAAUUUUAAAAAUUUUAAAACACCUAAAUGAAAAAUUUUCCAUUUUAAAAGGAGACGGGACUCCUACCAACCCCCCUUAUUUCAACCCAAAUGUUCCCUCUUAAACUUAGUUAUGUUAUAGAUAUAUCAUAACUAAAAAAAAAAAUUUAACUCAUGACUUUUAUUUUUAAAACGAGCAAACUGUUUUUUAUACGUUACUUUUUAUCAAUUAUUAUUACAGCAUGUUUGGUUGGGUGUAUUGGCAUAGCCAAUACACCCCUAAUCGGUGGGCCCCACUUAAUCCCCCUUUAAUCCGUUGUUUGGUUCAUGGUAUUGCUAUUACGGGUCUAAUACAUUACUGACCUAAUCGGUGAAAUCCACCGAUUUCUAAUCCCCCCUUUUGCUCAGUUUAGGUGCUGCUUCGUUUACCCUCCCUGUUUUACCCUCCCGAUCGUCUUCUCUUUGCGUCUUCUCUUCUUUCCUUCUAGCUUCUGCCGAUUUGCUCAGUUUCUGCCGAUUUGCUCCCUCCGUUUCUCCAGUUUCUGCCGAUUUGCGUCUUCUGUUUCUUUUCUUUUUCUUUACAACAUUACGCUUGGCCUUCUCAACCAGUCAACCUUUUCUUUUCUUUUCUCU